rnacentral:tRNA from 1 species
AAUUCAAAUUUAGAUUGAAAAUACUUGGUUUCGGCCCAAUUCAAGGCAUGAUUAAUGCCCAAUCU